UAUAGAUCUCCGACCACUGACCAAACUCCACUUCAAGCAGUCCCGAGGACUGUUCUUCCCCUUGCCCACGGAUGUGUCUGCUCAGUCCUUGGAUUUCCCAGGAACAUGCUGAAAAUUUUGCACUGGAGCACAGCACUGGUAUUUGCACAAAGCGGAUUUUGCGCUUAAUGUCAGCAGCUUCCUUUCUGGGAAGAACCUCGGGAAUAACCAGGAAUGCCUGAGUAACCUGUCAUGUCCUCAAUGUCCUCAAUCACCAGAGCACAGCAAUGGAGAAACAAAAACACAGCAGAAAGCAAGGUAUGGGAACAUGAGAACACAGCAAGGGCAGGGGAUCGCACGUCCCUACAGUUCCAGAAACCACAGCCAGGACACUGCAGGGACAACUGCCUGGCUCCCAGCUAACAAACAUGGGAACUGCUGAUCAGCCUGUGAGUAUUCAGCCUAGGUCUGCAACACUGGAUGACACUAUUGUUUGUCCCUUUACAUUCCUGCAAGUCCCAGUGCCAUUGGCCUCUUGUAUCAUAAAGAAAUUAAAAUAUAUUAUGACCAUAAACGACAUCAUUUGAGGAAAUGAACC